UUUUUUUUUAACGAGGUGUCCCAGCUUACGCCAGACUAUAUCCUCGUCCCUGAAUCUCCGGCCCCUCAGCUGCUCAGGGAGGUAAAUCGCAGGAUGUGCCCUUGUUGGUUCCCAAAUUCCCACAUGACUUUUACUCCUUUCCCAAAGGGAGCCUCCUCCAUGGUUAUUACAUCACCAAACUGCUCCAACCCUUCCUCUGGUUAUUACAUCACUUGGCUGCUCCAACCAGGAAUCGAACUCCCCACGCUUGGUUCCAGAGCCUCCCAAUGUGAUUGUUCCGCCAACUUGGAUGUGCCCUGGGAGGCGAAUAGAGUCCUUUUUUUUUUCUAGCAUUUG
rnacentral:lncRNA from 1 species